rnacentral:rRNA from 1 species
GAGGNGGACGGCCCCACACUGGGACUGAGACACGGCCCAGACUCCUACGGAAGGCAGCAG